rnacentral:rRNA from 1 species
UACGUAGGGGGCUAGCGUUGUCCGGAUUUAUUGGGCGUAAAGAGCGUGUAGGCGGCCAGGUAGGUCUGGUGUGAAAACUCGAGGCUUAACCUCGAGAUGUCAUCGGAAACCAUCUGGCUAGAGUCCGGAAGAGGAGAGUGGAAUUCCUGGUGUAGCGGUGAAAUGCGCAGAGAUCGGGAGGAACACCAAUGGCGAAAGCAGGUAACUGGACUAUUACUGACACUCAGCUGCGAAAGCUAGGGGAGCAAACAGG